GAUUAACAAAACCAGCAGGGAAUCAGUGACAGUAUUCAUUGGAGAAAGAAAUUGUGUCUAAAUUUUCUAAAGAGUGGAAUUUCCUCUAAGCUGUGAUAGUGUUCCUAUUCUGAAUAUAUAUUCAAUUCUAACAAUGGAAUUUGAUUCGACUUGGAUCUAUAUAUAUAUCAGUAAUGUAAUAAACUGACAAAAUGCUUUCAAGGAUUACAAUCGGAAGAUCUAAUGAGAUAGGACGGCCUUCAGGAAUAUGAAGAGGAUAUAUUCUGGAAUAUGAAAAGGAUAUUUUCUGGAUCCAUUUACAAAUACGAAAGAAAGGAAUUCAGCACAGACCAAGAUUAUGGAAUUUGCAUACAAAGGGAGUUAACACCAUCACAAAAUGUUAAUACAUAUAACAAGGAAAGCAGAGUUGUCUCCCAUGCCAUAUUAUUCAGCUUAUGUUAAAUGGGAUUUCUUGAUGAAAUGAUGGAUGAAAUUUGUGUUUAUCAAAUGUGUUUUAUCAAAAAAGAAUGGAAGAAGAAAAAUACUUACAGGGAAAAAACCAGGAGGCAUUGGCCCCCCUGGUGGCAUUCCAUCCUGUGGGGGCAUUUGUCCUAAAGGACUUUGUGCUGCUGGAUUCUGAAAAGAGAUAAAACAAAAAAUGUAAUAACAUUAAAAGAGGGAUAUAUUAAGGAUAAUAUAUAUUUGAUAAAAGAAAACAACCUGAGGUUGAAAGGAUUAUUACUCCUGAAGGAAAUAAUGUGAUUUCUCUUAUGUUGUAAUCUGAAAAUUAAAAGAAUGCAGCUAUG